UACAAAGAUCUUUACUAAUGUUACUUUCGUUACUCUCUUGCCUGACAUAUUAUUUACAUUACCCAUGAGGGUCUUUCUGCUUUUAUACGAUUUUUGGUUAAGUACACGAGAGCGAACACAAUUACAAGCUACAUGACUCAGACUCUUCAUUUUAGGUCAAAACACCUAGUAUGAGAUUCUCGGUCUCGGGUAUCGCCCAAUGUUUUAAAAAAAGCUUAAGUUGCACUACACGUUUCGAUGCGCUUGAUUGAAGUAAGGUGCGACUUAGGAAAGUUAGGAGUAUGAUGUAAAAAGAAUUGUGCGCCUUAGGUGCGCCUAGGCUGAUUAUGGAGUAGAUAGAUUGUAUUUUGGAGCAAAAUCUACUCUUACCCGCUUGACUUUGAUGUGAGAUAAAAAUCUUCUUGACUUCAGAGCUUUUUCGGUCUAUUUUUUGUUGUAGGUUAAAGAGUGUCUCAACUCUUGAGAGUUGAGAGUGUUCGUUUGACAUGACGUUUGGUGUGGUGAAUGAAUCUUGAAAGUUCUACUUUUAGCUUUUUAUAGUGUGGCAUGACUGGCAUCACUCAAUGAUGCUAUGGUGGAUGAGGAGUGACGCAGUGUGAUGGAUGAUUUCCUAAUAUAUGAGGACUUAUCCUUCUGCACUAGGUAGCACAUAGAUGAAUACGGGUACGGAUGCGGAUUCGGGUACGGGGACAGAAAACGGCAAGAUUUUGAAAUUUUAGGAAAGGGUAUGCGUACCCAUACUGGUUACGUUUUGUAUCAGGUACGGGUACGAGUACGUGACCUAGAAGAAGUACCCAUGCUACAUAGCCUGGGAAAUGGAAGCAAUGUGUACUACUGCUAAAUUCACUAUCUAACAUAGUUUUGAACCUGUUGGAUGAGAAUCUAUGCUUUGCCUCCACAGAGUACAGUAGAGGGUGUGUUUGCUGUGCAAAAGGUCUGCAAUAUGCUCCAAGGAGAUAAAAAGGGUAAAAGUCCUAGUUUUCUACAGAGAUACACUGAAACAGGAGAAUGUCAGCCUUGCAAGCAGAUAUAUUAUGUGCAGACUUGAUAAAGAGUCAGCCUAUAACCUAAUUCUGCUUUGCCCUUUGGUAAUUUCUUUGUGGCAGUUGAGUUUUUGUUGGAUUGUUCUCGUAGCUUGAAAGAGGAAGUUGAAUAUUAUUAGAUUGCAGAUUUGCGGAAGCUUGGCCGGUUGGCUAUAUGGUGGUAUACUUGGAAGGUCAAGAAUGGGCAAAUCUUGUAUGGGAGCACCUUAUCACCGCAAGCGUCUAAGUUAUAUAGUUUGAGGACUUGUGGAGUCAAAGCUCAUGAACUUAAAUUGUUUUUCCUUGAUUUUGCAAAUAACAGUCAUGCAUGGUUCUCAUGAUUGAGGACUUCUUUUUUUACCUUUUUUUUUUUGGUAUGGGAUACUUGUAAGUUUCUCAGGGCCCAGGGGUAUGACACUUUUGGUUCUAUCUUUUUUUUUUUUGUUGAUAUGUGGACGAGUGAGCAACAGAUUGUUUAGUUGUACUGUUUAGUUUACUUGGUGGACAACCCCCGGCACCCCAAUUCUGAAAAAUUGACAAGUUUCCAAAAGUUUUGAAAUCGUGAGGAUUUUAGAGUCAGCUGGCUGAUAGUCUGAUACAAGUGAAUGUCAAAAGGAUGGUGAUCACUGAAAGAUAAUUGUACCAGUCCUCUGAAAUCUAUGAAUGCAAUUUUUGUCC